AUGAGCCCCAACGCUGGGAGUGUCUGUCUGACCCUCUUGCUGAGGAAAAGGCGACAGCCAAUCGCUACAGUCCCUUUAGGCUUUUCUCUCCUGCCAGUCCUCACUGUCCCUCCGAGGGUGUUCCUGGACGCUUCAGUCGGGAGGUCUCGCUCUUCACCCAGGCUGGAGUUCAGUGGCACAAUCAUGGCUGACUGCAUCCUCAAACUCCUGGGCUCUAGUGAUCCUCCCACCUCAGCUUCCAAGUUGCUGGAAUUACAGUCAUUCUCACAGGGCAAAGGCUAUAGAAAUCUUCUGGUGGAAAGAAAUGAAGACAAGCAAAAUCAACUGAGAGAGAGAAAUGGAAAAGUAGCAAAAAGGAAGCUGUCCCAGAUCCACGCAAGAAAAAUGCCUGACCCAGGGUGAACCAGCCCCAUCUGGGGAAAGGAGCUCUUGUCCUGUCAAUUCCUCCCAGCCACAAAUACCAGCACAUGUGCACACUCCAUGUAGACAAAUGGAACUCUGCAGAUACACACACACCACACAUAUACACACCAUCAACAUCCACACAAAGAGCUAGCUAUGGCUCCUUCUCCCGAGUUGAGCCUGUAUUUGAGAACUGUUGAGGCGGCAGAAGCCGGGGCUGCCCAAUGAAUAAGAAAGCAAAAAAUGAGCUUUGUGCGUGAGUUCCUUGGGAUCUCAUAAAAUGUCUUUUUAGUCCUGGAACGAUCUUCUGCUGUGUGGGGAGGAGAGGAGCAAAGGUGAUGCCUGGAGAUGGAGGUCUUGAGGAGGAUGUGUGCAAGCGCUUAGGGCAGGCAGAAACCAAACAUCCAAAUCAAGGUUGGGUGGAUGACACAGGGUAGAGAGCCAGUGAGUCUGCCCAGCACCCUAGAGUCAGAAGAAUCUGCUGUUUCUGCUCAAGGCGGGGGUGGACUUUACCUAGACCCUGGACUGCAAGAGAAAUCGCUACCUUGACUGGCCCCAGCUGACCAUGGGGAUGGGGGUGGUGAGGGCUAAGUUCUGUACUCUAUGCACAGUGUAGGAGUUCACUCAGCUGCAGGCAGGCAGCUAGUGCCUUCCCUCUGCAAACAUUCCACAAAUGACCAUCAACAUCCCACAAAUGACCAUUUCCAUGUGAGCCUUUUAACACUUGGGCUCUCAAACCUUAAGAAAUUCUCCACUCUUCAAUUUCUAAAAGUAAAUCACGUUUGAGCAUUUUACAGACAGUCAAGUUUUGCCACCUACAUCAGAGACAUACAUCUUUCCUUCCCUCCUCUUACUUUUGAAAUGAUAGCCAAACCCCAGUGGUUUCAGUGCCUGGGAGAAUGCUGUACCACACGCAACAUCUGUAAGCAGUUAAUUUUCCAAAUGGGAGAUGGUCACCACAGAUGCAGAACUUUUAAAAAUAAUCGUUAGAAAAAUAUUACUCCAGCAAAAAUGAAAGCCCAGAAUCCAUGUGAGUGGGUGGUAGGUGGCUGGUGCGAGGUAGAUCAAAGCUGCAUCCUAGUUUGCCUGGCCAUGCAAAAGCAGGGAAAAAUAGAACCACAGAACUUCAAGAGAAGAAAAAAAAAAGGAUCUUUGGUAUCCUAGCUUCCAUAUAGUGGGGAAAUGAAGUCCUGGGCCAGGAAGUGAGUGCCUGUCCAUGUUAGGACUGAAGGUCAGACCAAGAGCUUCUGCUCUAGCAUAAAUCUCAUUUUUAUUUGGGUAUCUUAGUAAUUUCCCUUUUAAGAAAAAUAAAAGUCCUCUGACUUAACCA
rnacentral:lncRNA from 13 species